GGCAGCAUGAUGUAGUGGUUUGGCAUAGUGGAGUGCGACUCUGGAGUCCAGGGUUCAGUUCCCUGCUCAGCCA